rnacentral:rRNA from 1 species
AACGAACGCUGGCGGCAUGCCUAACACAUGCAAGUCGAACGAGACCUUCGGGUCUAGUGGCGCACGGGUGCGUAACGCGUGGGAACCUGCCCUUAGGUUCGGAAUAACUCCCCGAAAGGGGUGCUAAUACCGGAUAAUGUCUUCGGACCAAAGAUUUAUCGCCUUUGGAUGGGCCCGCGUUGGGUUAGCUAGUUGGUAGGGUAAAAGCCUACCAAGGCGACGAGCCAUAGCUGGUCUGAGAGGAUGAUCAGCCACACUGGGACUGAGACACGGCCCAGACGCCGAGGGGAGGCAGCAGUGGGGAAUAUUGGAGAAUGGGCGAAAGCCUGAUCCAGCAAGGCCGCGUGAGUGAUGAAGGCCUUAGGGUUGUAAAGCUCUUUUGCCGGGGAUGAUAAUGACAGUACCGGGAGAAUAAGCUCCGGCUAACUCCGUG